rnacentral:rRNA from 1 species
UACGUAGGGCGCAAGCGUUGUCCGGAAUUAUUGGGCGUAAAGAGCUCGUAGGCGGUUUGUCGCGUCUGCUGUGAAAACCUAAGGCUCAACCUUGGGCUUGCAGUGGGUACGGGCAGACUAGAGUGCGGUAGGGGUGACUGGAAUUCCUGGUGUAGCGGUGGAAUGCGCAGAUAUCAGGAGGAACACCGAUGGCGGAAGGCAGG